GGGAUGAUCAGCCACACAGGAACUGAGACACGGUCAAGACUCCUACGGGAGGCAGCAGUGGGGAAUAUUGCACAAUGGGCGAAAGCCUGAUCCAGCCAUGCCGCGUGUAUGAAGAAGGCCUUCGGGUUGUAAAGUACUUUCAUUUGGGAGGAAGGGUGUGUAGUUAAUAGCUGCGCAUCUUGACGUUAGCAUCAGAAGAAGCACCGGCUAACUCCGUGCCAGCAGCCGCGGUAAUACGGAGGGUGCGAGCGUUAAUCGGAAUUACUGGGCGUAAAGCGCAUGCAGGUGGUUCAUUAAGUCAGAUGUGAAAUCCCGGGGCUCAACCUCGGAACUGCAUUUGAAACUGGUGAACUAGAGUACUGUAGAGGGGGGUAGAAUUUCAGGUGUAGCGGUGAAAUGCGCCUUAUCUGGAGGAAUACCAGUGGCGAAGGCGGCCCCCUGGACAAACACUGACGCUCAG
rnacentral:rRNA from 1 species